rnacentral:rRNA from 1 species
UGGGGAAUAUUGGACAAUGGGCGGAAGCCUGAUCCAGCCAUGCCGCGUGUGUGAAGAAGGCCUUUUGGUUGUAAAGCACUUUAAGCGAGGAGGAGGCUACUUGGAUUAAUACUCUAGGAUAGUGGACGUUACUCGCAGAAUAAGCACCGGCUAACUCUGUGCCAGCAGCCGCGGUAAUACAGAGGGUGCGAGCGUUAAUCGGAUUUACUGGGCGUAAAGCGUGCGUAGGCGGCUUCUUAAGUCGGAUGUGAAAUCCCUGAGCUUAACUUAGGAAUUGCAUUCGAUACUGGGAAGCUAGAGUAUGGGGGAGGAUGGUAGAAUUCCAGGUGUAGCGGUGAAAUGCGUAGAGAUCUGGAGGAAUACCGAUGGCGAAGGCAGCCAUCUAGCCUAAUACUGACGCUGAGGUACGAAAGCAUGGGGAGCAAACAGG